UACGGAGGGUGCAAGCGUUGUUCGGAAUCACUGGGCGUAAAGGGCGUGUAGGCGGUCCGCUAAGUCUGAUGUGAAAGCCCGAGGCUUACCCUCGGAAGUGCAUUGGAGACUGGCGGACUUGAGUCCCGGAGAGGAGGGUGGAAUUCCUGGUGUAGCGGUGAAAUGCGUAGAUAUCAGGAGGAACACCGGUGGCGAAAGCGACUUCCUGGACCAAUACUGACGCUCAUGUGCGAAAGCGUGGGGAGCAAACAGG
rnacentral:rRNA from 1 species